rnacentral:lncRNA from 1 species
AAACCAUAAACCCUAAACCCUAAACCCUAAACCCUAAACCCUAAACCCUAAACCCUGAACCCUAAACCCUAUACCCUAAACCCUAAAACCUAAAACCAAAAACCAAAAUCCUAAAACCAAACACUGAAGACCUAAAUCCUAAAACCUAGACUCUAAUCCCUAAACCUAAAAAAGGCCAAAAUGACCUAAAAUAUUAAUGCAUUUUGACUUUUGUAUUUAUUGGACGAACUACAAUGAAUAACAAAUAAAUUGUACCAAAAGAAACAUAUCAAAAACCAAAAUAACCAAAAUCUAAAACCAGUUAGAUUGAUGCACUAAUUCNNNNNNNNNNNNNNNNNNNNNNNNNNNNNNNAAAACCAAAAACCAAAAUCCUAAAACCAAACACUGAAGACCUAAAUCCUAAAACCUAGACUCUAAUCCCUAAACCUAAAAAAGGCCAAAAUGACCUAAAAUAUUAAUGCAUUUUGACUUUUGUAUUUAUUGGACGAACUACAAUGAAUAACAAAUAAAUUGUACCAAAAGAAACAUAUCAAAAACCAAAAUAACCAAAAUCUAAAACCAGUUAGAUUGAUGCACUAAUUCAACAAACUACAUUGAUUAAGAAGAAAAAUGGUCUAUAAUAGACCUAGAUCCUUAAUCAUUAAACCUAAACCUUAAACCAUAAACACUAAACCCUAAUCCCAAACCCUAAAAUGAAUAAUAACUAAAACGAAAAAAAAAAAGAAACAUAUAAAAAACCAAAACGUCCUAAAAUCUAAAUCAAGUGACACUUUUGCACUAAUAGGUUGAACUACAUUAAUUAACAACUAAAAUGGACAACAACAACAACAAAAAUUGACAGAAAGAAACAUAACAACAACAACAAAAAAAUGACCUAAAAUCAAAAUCUAGUAACACUAAUGCACUUAUUCGACGAACUACAUUGAUUCAGAAACAAAAUGGACUAGAUAUGACCUUGACCCUUAACCGUAAAGCCUAAACCCUGAACCCUAAACCUUAGACCCUAAACCCUAUACCCUAUACCCUAAACCCUAAACCCUAAAACCUAAAACCAAAAACCAAAAACCAAAAACCAAAAACCAAAAACCAAAAACCAAAAACCAAAAACCAAAAACCAAAAACCAAAAACUGAAGACCUAAAUCCUAAAACCUAGACUCUAAUCCCUAAACCUAAAAAAGGCCAAAAUGACCUAAAAUGUUAAUGCAUUUUGACUUUUGUAUUUAUUGGACGAACUACAAUGAAUAAGAAAUAAAUUUUACCAAAAGAAACAUAUCAAAAACCAAAAUAACCUAAAUCUAAAACCAGUUAGAUUGAUGCACUAAUUUGACAAACUACAUUGAUUAAGAAGAAAAAUGGUCAAUAAUAGACCUAGAUCCUUAAUCGUUAACCCUAAACCUUAAACCAUAAACACUAAACCCUAAUCCCUUAACCUAGGAAAGACGAAAAUGACCUAGAAUAUUAAUGCAUUGAGACUUUUCAACUUAUUGGACGAACUACAAUAAAUAAGAACUAAAAUGGACAAAAAGAAACAUAUCAAAAACCAAAAUAACCUAAAAUUUAAAUCCAAUGAGGCUUAUGCACUUAUGCGACAAACUACAUUUAUUAAGAACCAAAAUGAACUAGAAUAGACCUAGAACCUAGACCCUUAACCCUUAAUCUUAAACCCUAAAUCCCAAACCCUAAAAUGAAUAAUAACUAAAAUGGAAAAAAAAAAAAAUACAAAAAACCAAAACGUCCUAAAAUCUAAAUCAAGUGACACUUUUGGACUAAUAGGUUGAACUACAUUGAUUAACAACUAAAAUGGACAACAACAACAAAAAUUGACAGAAAGAAACAUAACAACAACAACAACAAAAAAUGACCUAAAAUCAAAAUCUAGUAACAAUUAUGCACUUAUUCGACGAACUACAUUGAUUCAGAAACAAAAUGGACUAGAUAUGACCUAGACCCUUAACCCUAAACAGUAAACCCUAAACCCUGAACCCUAAACCUUAGACCCUAAACCCUAUACCCUAUACCCUAAACCCUAAACCCUAAAACCUAAAACCAAAAACCAAAAACCAAAAACCAAAAACCAAAAACCAAAAACCAAAAACCAAAAACCAAAAACCAAAAACCAAAAACCAAAAACCAAAAUCCUAAAACCAAACACUGUUGACCUAAAUCCUAAAACCUAGACUCUAAUCCCUAAACCUAAAAAGGCUAAAAUGACCUAAAAUAUUAAUGCAUUUUGACUUUUGCAUUUAUUGGACGAACUACAAUGAAUAAGAAAUAAAUUGUACCAAAAGAAACAUAUCAAAAACCAAAAUAACCAAAAUCUAAAACCAGUUAGAUUGAUGCACUAAUUCGACAAACUACAUUGAUUAACAACUAAAAUGGACAAAAAGAAACAUAUCAAAAACCAAAAUAACCAAAAUCUAAAACCAGUUAGAUUGAUGCACUAAUUCGACAAACUACAUUGAUUAACAACUAAAAUGGACAAAAAGAAACAUAUCAAAAACCAAAAUAACCUAAAAUCUAAAUCCAAUGAGACUUAUGCACUUAUUCGACGAACUACAUUUAUUACGUACAAAAAUGAACUAGAAUAGACCUAGACUCUAGACCCUUAACCCUUAAUCUUAAACCCUAAAUCCCAAACCCUAAAAUGAAUAAUAACUAAAACGGAAAAAAAAAAGAAACAUAUAAAACCCAAAAUGUCCUAAAAUCUAAAUAAAACGUCCUAAAAUCUAAAUCAAGUGACACUUUUGCACUAAUAGGUUGAACUACAUUGAUUAACAACUAAAAUGGACAACAACAAAAAUUGACAGAAAGAAACAUAACAAAAACAAAAAAAAUGACCUAAAAUCAGAAUUUAGUAACACUUAUGCACUUAUUCGACGAAAUACAUUGAUUCAGAAACAAAAUGGACUAGCUAUGACCUAGACCCUUAACCAUAAACCCUAAACCCAAAACCCUAAACCCUAAAACUUAAUAACCUAAAACCUAAAUCCUAAUUCUUAAACGUAGUAAAGACCAAAAUGACCUAAAAUAUUAAUGCAUUUUGACUUAUAUUCUUAUUGGACGAACUACAAUGAAAAGACCUAGAAUACACCUAGUAAAUAACAAAUUGACCUAAAAUCUAUAUCCGUUGAAAAUUUUGCUUUUAUUACAUGAACUACAUUGAUUAAGAACCAAAAUGGACUAGAUAUGACCUAGACCCUUAACCCUUUAACCAUAAACCCGAUACGCAAAAACCUAAAACCUAAAACCUAAAACCUAAAACCUAAAACCUAAACCCUAAACCCUAAACCCUAAACCCUAAACCCUAAACCCUAAACCCUAAAACCUAAAACCUAAAACCUAAAACCAAAAACCAAAAUCCUAAAACCAAACACCGAAGACCUAAAUCCUAAAACCUAAAAUCUAAAUCAAGUGACAAUUUUGCACUAAUAGGUUGAACUACAUUGAUUAACAACUAAAAUGGACAACAACAAAAAACAUAACAAAUUCCACAAUGACCUAAAAUUUUAAUAUAUCGAAACUUUUGCACUUAUUAGACGAACUACACUAUUUUAGAAACAAAAUGGACUAGAUUCCACCUUGUAAAUUACAAAAUAACCUAAAAUCUAUAUUCAUUGAGAAUUAUGCUUUUAAUUUUAUCAUGAAAUACAUUGGUUAAAACCAAAAUGAACGAGAAUAGACCUAGACCCUAGACCCUUAACCCUUAAUCUUAAACCCUAAUUCGACAAACUACAUUGAUUAAGAAGAAAAAUGGUCUAAAAUAGACCUAGAUCCUUAAUCGUUAACCCUAAACCUUAAACCAUAAACACUAAACCCUAAUCCCUUAACCUAGGAAAGACGAAAAUGACCUAGAAUAUUAAUGCAUUGAGGCUUAUGCACUUAUUCGACAAACUACAUUUAUUAAGAACCAAAAUGAUCUAGAAUAGACCUAGACCCUAGACCCUUAAUCUUAAACCCUAAAUCCCAAACCCUAAAAUGAAUAAUAACUAAAACAAAAAUAAAAGAAACAUAUAAAAAACCAAAAAGUCCUAAAAUCUAAAUCAAGUGACACUUUUGCACUAAUAGGUUGAACUACAUUGAUUAAAACCUAAAAUGGACAACAACAAAAAUUGACAGAAAGAAACAUAACAACAACAAAAAAAAUGACCUAAAAUCAAAAUCUAGUAACACUUAUGCACUUAUUCGGCGAACUACAUUGAUUCAAAAACAAAAUGGACUAGAUAUGACCUAGAUCCUUAACCCUAAACCCUAAACCCUAAAACAACCUAAAUCCUAAUUCUUAAACCUAGUAAAGACCAAAAUGACCUAAAAUAUUAAUGCAUUUUGACUUAUAAUCUUAUUGGACGAACUAUAAUGAAAAGACCUAGAAUACACCUAGUAAAUAACAAAUUGACCUAAAAUCUAUAUCCAUUGAAAAUUUUGCUUUUAUUACAUGAACUACGUUGAAUAAGAACCUAAAUGGACUAGAUAUGACCUAGACCCUUACCCCUUAACCAUAAACCCGAAACGCCAAACACUAAACCCUAAACCCUAAACCCAAACCCUAAAACCUAAACCCUAAACCCUAAACCUUAAACCCUAAACCCUAAACCAUAAACCCUUAACCCUAAACCCUAAACCCUAAACCCUAAACACUAAACACUAAACACUAAACCCUAAAACCUAAAACCUAAAACCUAAAACCUAAAACCUAAAACCUAAAACCUAAAACCUAAAACCUAAAACCAAAACCAAACACCGAAGACCUAAAUCCUAAAACCUAAAAUCUAAAUCAAGUGACAAUUUUGCACUAAUAGGUUGAACUACAUUGAUUAACAACUAAAAUGGACAACAACAAAAAACAUAACAAAUUCCACAAUGACCUAAAAUUUUAAUAUAUUGAAUCUUUUGCACUUAUUAGACGAACUACACUAUUUUAGAAAAAAAAUGGACUAGAUUCCACCUUGUAAACAACAAAAUAACCUAAAAUAUAUAUUCAUUGAGAAUUAUGCUUUUAAUUUUAUCAUGAAAUACAUUGGUUAAAACGAAAAUGAACGAGAAUAGACCUAGACCCUAGACCCUAGACCCUUAACCCUUAAUCUUAAACCCUAAAUCCCAAACCUUAAAAUGAAUAAUAACUAAAACGGAAAAAAAGAAACAUAUCAAAAACCAAAACGUCCGAAAAUUUAAAUCAAGUGACACUUUUGCACUAAUAGGUUGAACUACAUUGAUUAACAACUAAAAUGGACAACAACAAAAAACAUAACAAAUUCCACAAUGACCUAAAAUUUUAAUAUAUCGAAUCUUUUGCACUUAUUAGACGAACUACACUAUUUUAGAAACAAAAUGGACUAUAUUCCACCUAGUAAACAACAAAAUAACCUAAAAUCUAUAUUCAUUGAGAAUUAUGCAUUUAAUUAUAUCAUGAAAUACAUUGGUUAAAACCAAAAUGAACGAGAAUAGACCGAGACCCUAGACCCUUAACCCUUAAUCUUAAACCCUAAAUCCCAAACCCUAAAAUAAAUAAUAACUAAAACGAAAAAAAAGAAACAUAUCGAAAACCAAAAUGUCCUAAAAUCGAAGUCAAGUGACACUUUUGCACUAAUACGUUGAACUACAUUGAUUAACAACUAAAAUGGACAACAACAAAAAACAUAACAAAUUCCACAAUGACCUAAAAUUUUAAUAUGUGGAAUCUUUUGCACUUAUUACAAAAACUACACUAUUUUAGAAACAAAAUGGACUAGAUUCCACCAAGUAAAAAACAAAAUGAACUAAAAUCUAUAUCCAUUGAGAAUUAUGAUUUUAAUUAUGUCAUGAAAUACAUUGGUUAAAACCAAAAUGGACUAAAAUAGACUUAGGCCCUUAAACCAUAAAACCUAAACCCUAAUCCCAUAACCUAGUAAAGACCAAAAUAACCUAAAAUAUUAAUUUAUAGAGACUUCUAUACUUAUUGGACAAACUACAUAUAUAAGAAAUAAAAUUGACAGAAAGAAACAUAAAAAAACGAAAACGAUGUAAAAUCAAAAUCUAGUAACACUUAUGCACAUAUGCGACGAACUACGUUGAUUAAGAAACAAAAUGGACUAGAUAUGACCUAGACCCUUAACCCUUAAACAUCAACCCGAACCGCAAAACACUAAAGCCUAAACUCUAAACUCUAAACCCUAAACCUAAACCCAAAACCAUAAACCGUAAAACAUGAAACCUAAAACCUAAAACCUAAAACCUAAAACCUAAAACCUAAAACCUAAAACCUAAAACCUAAAAUCUAUAUCCAUUGAGAAUUUUGCUUUUAUUACCUGAACUACAUUGAUUAAGAACCAAAAUGGACUAGAUAUGACCUAAACCCUUAACCAUAAACCUGACACGCAAAACACUAAACCGUAAACCCUAAGCCCAAACCCUAAACCCUAAAACCUAAACGUUAAACCCUAAACCCAAAACCUUAAACCCUAAACUUAAAACCUUAAUCCUUAAACCCUAAACCCUAAAACCUAAAAUCUAAAACCCAAAACCUAAAACCAAAAACCAAAAUCCUAAAACCAAACACCGAAGACCUAAAUACUAAAACCUAAAAUCUAAAUCAAGUGACACUUUUGCACUAAUAGGUUGAACUACACUGAUUAACAACUAAAAUGGAAAACAACUGAAAACAUAACAAAUUCCACAAUGACCUAAAAUUUUAAUAUAUUGAAUCUUUUGCACUUAUUAGACGAACUACAGUGUUUUAGAAACAAAAUGGACUAGAUUCCACCUAGUAAACAACAAAAUAACCUAAAAUCUAUAUCCAUUGAGAAUUAUGCUUUUAAUUAUAUCAUGAAAUACAUUGGUUAAAACCAAAAUGGACUAGAAUAGACCUAGGCCCUUAAACCAUAAAACCUAAACCCUAAACCCUAAUCCCUUAACCUAGUGAAGACCAAAUUAACCUAAAAUAUUAAUUUAUUGAGACUUUUGUACUUAUUGGACAAACUACAUAUAUAAGAACUAAAAUUGACAGAAAGAAACAUAACAAAAACAAUAAUGAUCUAAAAUAUGCACUUAUUCGACGAACUACAUUGAUUAAGGUAGAAAAUGGACUAGAUAUGACCUAGACCCUUAACCCUAAACCAUAAACCUGAACCGCAAAACCCUAAACCCUAAACCAUAAAUCAUAAACUGUAAACCCUAAACCCUAAACCAUAAAUCAUAAACUGUAAACCCUAAAUCCUAAACUAUAAACCCUAAACCCUAAAACAUUAACCCUAAACACUAAAACCAAACACCUAAGACCAAAAUGACCUUAAUCUUAAACCCUAAAUCCCAAAUUCUAAACCCUAAACCCUAAAAUGAUAAGAACUGAAAUGGAAAAAAAGAAAUAUAUCAAAAACCAAAACGUCCUAAAAUCAAAAUCUAGUAACACUUAUUCGGCGAACUACAUUGAUUCAGAAACAAAAUGGACUAGAUAUGACCUAGACCCUUAUCCCUAAACCCUAAACCCAAAACCCUAAAACUUAAAAACCUAAAACCUAAAUCCUAAUUCUUAAACCUAGUAAAGACCAAAAUGACCUAAAAUAUUAAUGCAUUUUGACUUAUAUUCUUAUUGGACGAACUAUAAUGAAAAGACCUAGAAUACACCUAGUAAAUAACAAAAUGACCUAAAAUCUAUAUCCAUUGAAAAUUUUGUUUUUAUUACAUGAACUACAUUGAUUAAGAACCAAAAUGGACUAGAUAUGACCUAGACCCUUAACCCUUAACCAUAAAAUCGAAACGCAAAACACUAAACCCUAAACCCAAACCCUAAAACCUAAACCCUAAACCCUAAACCCUAAACCCUAAACCCUAAACCCUUAACCGUUAACCCUUAACCCUAAACCCUAAACCCUAAACCCUAAACCCUAAACCCUAAACACUAAAC